UUAGAGCAGAAAAGACACCAAGACAUCAAUGUAUUAACUAAAAAGGUGAUAACACCUUACAACACCUUGCGAUAGUAAAGCACUACACAUGUGUUAUACUAACUUUAGUUCUAAAGUUUUUCAGAAGUGAAUAUACUACAUAAUGAGUUCAUUGUUAUAAUUUUAGGGAGGAGCUUACACACAUUUAUAUAGGCCAUCGUGCAAGUCACCUGUUGCAAACCUUCAGCUUCAUACAGAAGAACUGAGUUACUUGAGAUUUUCUACUGAUUCAAGAUGGCCUCUAUAGGGUCAGCUUCACUGGAUCUGAACUAUGACAAGAAGACUGUUAAUGCUGAAGUCAAAGAUGUAUCCAUUAGUAACUUUGCUGUAGGAUGUUUAGCAGCUGUAGCAGUGGCCUAUAGUGCCUCUAAGAUUUUGGAUGUUGGACAACAAUCGAACAAGAAGUAAAGAUCAUCCUCCAAACAGAGGCUGUAUAUCAGAAUGUUUCUGCAAUGUCCUAAUCAAUAAAGUGAUGAAUUAAAUGAUUGUGAC